rnacentral:rRNA from 1 species
CUGCUGCCUCCCGUAGGAGUCUGGGCCGUGUCUCAGUCCCAAUGUGGCCGUCCACCCUCUCAGGCCGGCUACUGAUCGUUGCCUUGGUGUGCUUUUACCACUCCAACUAGCUAAUCAGACGCGGGUCCAUCUCAUACCAGAUUUCUCCUUUUCACACUAAAACAUGCGUUUCCGUGCGCUUAUGCGGUUUUACCACCAGUUUCCCGAUGCUAUCCCCCUGUAUGAGGCAGGUUGCCCACGCGUUACUCACCCGUCCG